AUUGAACGCUGGCGGCAUGCUUUACACACGCAAGUCGAACGGUAACAGGUUAAGCUGACGAGUGGCGAACGGGUGAGUAAUGCAUCGGAACGUGCCCGAUCGUGGGGGAUAACGCAGCGAAAGCUGCGCUAAUACCGCAUACGAUCUGAGGAUGAAAGCGGGGGACCGUAAGGCCGCGCGCGAUCGGAGCGGCCGAUGGAAGAUUAGGUAGUUGGUGGGGUAAAGGCUCACCAAGCCAACGAUCUGUAGCUGGUCUGAGAGGACGACCAGCCACGCUGGGACUGAGACACGGCCCAGACUCCUACGGGAGGCAGCAGUGGGGAAUUUUGGACAAUGGGCGAAAGCCUGAUCCAGCAAUGCCGCGUGCAGGAAGAAGGCCUUCGGGUUGUAAACUGCUUUUGUACGGAGCGAAAAGGCCCUCUCUAAUACAGUGGGCUCAUGACGGUACCGUAAGAAUAAGCACCGGCUAACUACGUGCCAGCAGCCGCAGUAA
rnacentral:rRNA from 1 species